AUUGUUCUCUGCAACUCGAGAACAUGAAGUUGGAAUCGCUAGUAAUCGCGGAUCAGCAUGCCGCGGUGAAUACGUUCCCGGGUCUUGUACACACCGCCCGUCACGCCAUGGGAGUUGGUUCUGCCUGACGGCGUUGAGGUAACCCGCAAGGGAGCCUGGCGACCACGGUAGGGUCAGCGACUGGGGCGAAGUCGUAACAAGGUACC
rnacentral:rRNA from 1 species